rnacentral:rRNA from 1 species
UACGUAGGCAGCGAGCGUUGUUCGGAAUUACUGGGCGUAAAGAGUGUGUAGGCGGUGCUCCCAGUCUGUUGUGAAAUCUCCCGGCUUAACUGGGAGGGUGCAGCGGAAACUAGAGUGCUAGAGGGUGGGAGAGGUAAGCGGAAUUCCUGGUGUAGCGGUGAAAUGCGUAGAUAUCAGGAGGAACACCUGUGGUGUAGACAGCUUACUGGACCACUUCUGACGCUGAGACACGAAAGCGUGGGGAGCGAACGGG